GACGAACGCUGGCGGCGUGCUUAACACAUGCAAGUCGAGCGGUAAGGCCCUUUCGGGGGUACACGAGCGGCGAACGGGUGAGUAACACGUGGGUGACCUGCCCUCAGCUCUGGGAUAAGCCUGGGAAACUGGGUCUAAUACUGGAUAUGACUCCACGGUGCAUGUCGUGGGGUGGAAAGCCUUGUGCGUCUGAGGAUGGGCCCGCGGCCUAUCAGCUUGUUGGUGGGGUGANGGCCUACCAAGGCGACGACGGGUAGCCGGCCUGAGAGGGCGACCGGCCACACUGGGACUGAGACACGGCCCAGACUCCUACGGGAGGCAGGCAGUGGGGAAUCUUGCGCAAUGGGCGAAAGCCUGACGCAGCGACGCCGCGUGAGGGAUGACGGCCUCGG
rnacentral:rRNA from 1 species